GCCCCUUUAGCUCAGUUGGUAGAGCGCGGCACUAGUACGACUAGAUCAUGCCGAGGUCGCCGGUUCGACUCCGUCAGGGGGCA
rfam:Aureobasidium pullulans var. melanogenum CBS 110374 unplaced genomic scaffold scaffold_4, whole genome shotgun sequence.